GCGACAGGCUUAACACAUGCAAGUCGAGGGGCAGCACAGGUAGCAAUACCGGGUGGCGACCGGCGCACGGGUGAGUAACGCGUAUGCAACUUACCUAUCAGAGGGGGAUAACCCGGCGAAAGUCGGACUAAUACCGCAUGAAGCAGGGGCCCCGCAUGGGGAUAUUUGCUAAAGAUUCAUCGCUGAUAGAUAGGCAUGCGUUCCAUAGGCAGUUGGCGGGGUAACGGCCCACCAAACCGACGAUGGAUAGGGGUUCUGAGAGGAAGGUCCCCCACAUUGGUACUGAGACACGGACCAAACUCCUACGGGAGGCAGCAGUGAGGAAUAUUGGUCAAUGGCCGAGAGGCUGAACCAGCCAAGUCGCGUGAGGGAUGAAGGUUCUAUGGAUCGUAAACCUCUUUUAUAAGGGAAUAAAGUGCGGGACGUGUCCCGUUUUGUAUGUACCUUAUGAAUAAGGAUCGGCUAACUCCGUGCCAGCAGCCGCGGUAAUACGGAGGAUCCGAGCGUUAUCCGGAUUUAUUGGGUUUAAAGGGUGCGUAGGCGGCCUUUUAAGUCAGCGGUGAAAGUCUGUGGCUCAACCAUAGAAUUGCCGUUGAAACUGGGGGGCUUGAGUAUGUUUGAGGCAGGCGGAAUGCGUGGUGUAGCGGUGAAAUGCAUAGAUAUCACGCAGAACCCCGAUUGCGAAGGCAGCCUGCCAAGCCAUGACUGACGCUGAUGCACGAAAGCGUGGGGAUCAAACAGGAUUAGAUACCCUGGUAGUCCACGCAGUAAACGAUGAUCACUAGCUGUUUGCGAUACACUGUAAGCGGCACAGCGAAAGCGUUAAGUGAUCCACCUGGGGAGUACGCCGGCAACGGUGAAACUCAAAGGAAUUGACGGGGGCCCGCACAAGCGGAGGAACAUGUGGUUUAAUUCGAUGAUACGCGAGGAACCUUACCCGGGUUUGAACGCAUUCGGACCGAGGUGGAAACACCUUUUCUAGCAAUAGCCGUUUGCGAGGUGCUGCAUGGUUGUCGUCAGCUCGUGCCGUGAGGUGUCGGCUUAAGUGCCAUAACGAGCGCAACCCUUGCCACUAGUUACUAACAGGUAAAGCUGAGGACUCUGGUGGGACUGCCAGCGUAAGCUGCGAGGAAGGCGGGGAUGACGUCAAAUCAGCACGGCCCUUACAUCCGGGGCGACACACGUGUUACAAUGGCGUGGACAAAGGGAGGCCACCUGGUGACAGGGAGCGAAUCCCCAAACCACGUCUCAGUUCGGAUCGGAGUCUGCAACCCGACUCCGUGAAGCUGGAUUCGCUAGUAAUCGCGCAUCAGCCAUGGCGCGGUGAAUUCGUUCCCGGGCCUUGCCCUAACCGCCCGUC
rnacentral:rRNA from 1 species